GACGAACGCUGGCGGCGUGCUUAACACAUGCAAGUCGAACGGAAAGGCCCUGCUUUUGUGGGGUGCUCGAGUGGCGAACGGGUGAGUAACACGUGAGUAACCUGCCCUUGACUUUGGGAUAACUUCAGGAAACUGGGGCUAAUACCGGAUAAGAGCUCCUGCUGCAUGGUGGGGGUUGGAAAGUUUCGGCGGUUGGGGAUGGACUCGCGGCUUAUCAGCUUGUUGGUGGGGUAGUGGCUUACCAAGGCUUUGACGGGUAGCCGGCCUGAGAGGGUGACCGGCCACAUUGGGACUGAGAUACGGCCCAGACUCCUACGGGAGGCAGCAGUGGGGAAUAUUGCACAAUGGGCGGAAGCCUGAUGCAGCAACGCCGCGUACGGGAUGACGGCCUUCGGGUUGUAAACCGCUUUCGCCUGUGACGAAGCGUGAGUGACGGUAAUGGGUAAAGAAGCACCGGCUAACUACGUG
rnacentral:rRNA from 1 species